UUUAAUUGAAGUACUUCAUAAUUAAGAGUGGAAUUGUGCAACCAAAACAUGUCUUUAUUAGUGCGAAUGUUUUGUGAAUGCUUUGCUUUCAGUGCCAUAUUUGUCAUAGGACAUAGCUGCGGUAUGGGAGUAUUCAGUUGUACCAAAUUUCUUUGGCAAAAGUUUCUAGAACAGUUGGGCCUUUUAAUUUGCGAGGAUCAUACGUAUCUGUAUUAAUGGAAUCACCUUGAAAUGUAGAUAUUUGAUUUGAAAUAAAUAAAUGACUUGAAAAAU